UGAGACAUAUCUACAAAAAGUGUGCUCAGCAUUGAAAGAGAAAGGGCAGAAACAAAUUGUUGAUAUAGUGAAUGAAUUGGAACAUACAUUAUCCAUUUCAACAAUGCAAUCUAUUGACAGCAGCAGUGCUAGUGUUCCUACUAAUAAACCUGAAGACACUCCAGCUUCUAAUAGAAUACAAGGAAGAUUAGAAAAAUGGCUAAAAGAAGGAAA